rnacentral:rRNA from 1 species
AGUGAACGCUGGCGGUAGGCCUAACACAUGCAAGUCGAACGGCAGCACAGUAAGAGCUUGCUCUUACGGGUGGCGAGUGGCGGACGGGUGAGGAAUACAUCGGAAUCUACUUUUUCGUGGGGGAUAACGUAGGGAAACUUACGCUAAUACCGCAUACGACCUACGGGUGAAAGCAGGGGAUCUUCGGACCUUGCGCGAUUGAAUGAGCCGAUGUCGGGUUAGCUAGUUGGCGGGGUAAAGGCCCACCAAGGCGAGGAUCCGUAGCUGGUCUGAGAGGAUGGUCACGCACACCGGCACUGGAACACCGUCCCGACCCCCUCCGGAGGCAGCCGUGGGGAAUUUUUGGCAAAGGGCCGAAAGCCGAAUCCGCCCAUCCGCGGGGGGUAAAAAAGCCUUUGGGGUUUAAAACCCUUUUUUUUGGGAAAAAAAAAUAUGAAGUUAACUCCCCCCUUUUCUGCGGGUCCCCAAAAAAAAGCCCCCGCCAACCUUGUG